rnacentral:tRNA from 1 species
GAUAAAGAAGGGAAUUAAACCAAUGUGUACAGGACUACAGCCUGCCGCCUAACACUCGGCCACUUUACC